GGGCUUGUACUGGUUUCGACGGGGGUUUUGAAGUUGAGGAAGCCAUCCGCAGACUCCGGGACUGCGUACCAACCUGGAAACUAAAUAUAAACGCAAACAAUAAAGUAGCGUUAGCUGCCUAAUUGCAGCUUGUCAGCCCCAGGCCACCCGCUGUCUGGGAAUCUGGCAUCGACCUUGCGGGGCACUUCGUUCUCAAAGCUUUGAGAGAAUGGAAGAUUUCAUGAAGCUACCAAGUGUCACAGCCUGUUAUCCGGCGGUGAUGUGAGGGAAUGUUAAAAGAAUAACUGUGAUGGGAGAUGCCGCAAGGGAUAGACUUUCGGACGCGGGUUCGAUUCCCGCCAGGUCCA
rnacentral:tmRNA from 1 species